rnacentral:rRNA from 1 species
ACGAACGCUGGCGGCGCGCCUAAUACAUGCAAGUCGAGCGAGAAGACGUAGCAAUACGUUUGUAAAGCGGCGAACGGGUGAGGAAUACAUGGGUAACCUACCCUCGAGUGGGGAAUAACUAGCCGAAAGGUUAGCUAAUACCGCGUACGCUCCUUGGACUUCGGUUCAGGGAGGAAAGCGAUACCGUGGGUAUCGCGCUCUUGGAUGGGCUCAUGUCCUAUCAGCUUGUUGGUGAGGUAACGGCUCACCAAGGCUUCGACGGGUAGCUGGUCUGAGAGGACGAUCAGCCACACUGGCACUGCGACACGGGCCAGACUCCUACGGGAGGCAGCAGUAAGGAAUAUUGCGCAAUGGGCGAAAGCCUGACGCAGCGACGCCGCGUGGGGGA